AUAGCGUAUAUUAAAGUUGUUGCAGUUAAAAAGCUCGUAGUUGGAUUUCAAGGGUCGCAGGGUGUCUUCACUCUGCUCCCUAUCAGUCAUUGACUGUUACUGUGAGAAAAUUAGAGUGUUUCAAGCAGGCUAUUGCAGGAAUACAUUAGCAUGGAAUAACGAACGUCUAGAAUAUUGGUUAAUUCUAGAUAACGAUUAAUAGGGACAGUUGGGGGCAUUAGUAUUUAAUUGUCAGAGGUGAAAUUCUUGGAUUAUUUAAAGACUAACGUAUG
rnacentral:rRNA from 1 species